rnacentral:rRNA from 1 species
ACGACCCUGUGAAGGCAAGCAGAUCCCAAAAAUAACGUCUCAGUUCGGAUUGUAGUCUGCAACUCGACUACAUGAAGCUGGAAUCGCUAGUAAUCGCGAAUCAGCAUGUCGCGGUGAAUACGUUCCCGGGUCUUGUACACACCGCCCGUCACACCAUGGGAGUCGGAAAUGCCCGAAGCCAGUGACCCAACCAUAAGGAGGGAGCUGUCGAAGGUAGAAUCAAUGAUUGGGGUGAAGUCGUAACAAGGUAAC